rnacentral:sRNA from 1 species
UAAACAGGACCUUGUUGGUUUUUGCGAUC